GCAUGAUGUGGUUCGAUUGAAGGCUUCUAAUAAACGAGGAGCAGUCGUGGGCCAAUCUCAGCCGCGCGCUACUUUCCCGCUAGACUGAAAAUGGGCAACAGCGGGAGGACAAGAGUGCAACUACCUAGUGCUCUGGCGUCGACAACCAUCCCCGCGAACAUUUAUACUACGUCUACUGAUAGCAAUCGUUGGCCAAAUGUGUUCUGGAAACAGAUGCAGCCGUCUUUUUGACACAACAAAAUCCAAAGAAACUCAGCAAGCCGGGAUCCAGCAAAUCCCCCAGACGAGGAGAAUGACCGAGACAAAAUUCCUAUCUAUUGGAGCUUUGUACGCGAAAAUUUCUUAACCAUAUAUCGACAACAUUGGCUCCGGAUUUCCCGGUGUAUCGAGUUAUCCCACUGUUCUCGCACCCCUCAGGGUAGUCGUGCUCUGAUGGCCGUUUCGUCAAGCUGUUCAUUUUUAAAUGAGAGGAAUGAACUUUAACUUGUAAUUAAUUGGAUACGGACAUUGAAACGGUGGCAUUAGCAAUAUGGGGUCUAAGAUUCCGGCAUCACUCGCCCAGGGGUUUGCUGUUUACCUCUCUUCAUAAUGAACACGUAUGACCAACUCCCCUAAUUCUCCAUGAUUGCAUCUUUCCUUCCAGCCGAUCAAAAGAAUGUGUAUGCCUUUUCUAUCCCUGAUGCACAAAUAUUUUCACUCUGUAUUGUUAUAUGCAUCCUGACUGUCUCCAUUUAAUUGAUAUCAGUUCACAUCAUAUUUCUCAUAUUACCCUUCUUUCACCUUUCGAUUCCGACGACCAAACCAAAGCACCCAAGUAUUCGUUUUACAAUUGUAUUACUUUGAACCCCUCUCCAUCAAAAGAUUGAUACCCCUGGCACUAACCGUAUCCAACAAGGCCCCAAGACGAAGAGUGAAGGGGCUAAAAUCCCAAUAAAGGCCAUGAGUGCUGCAAUGAGAGGUACAGCAUUUGUACUCACCUUAGUAAAUAUCAGAAAGAUCUGUCCAUGAACACAUGUCAGAUGUGGAUCUCAAUCGCCGUCAGGGAUCAGGGGUUGAGAGGAGACCUCGCUCAUACCGAAGCUACAGCUGUCCAACUGCUUGCCGUCCGUUACGCUAAUUAAUAGGGAUCUUCAAUAUAUCUCCCUCUUUUCUCCCCUCCUUUUUUUUGUAAUGUAGCUUUUUUUUUGGUCUCCAUUUUUCUCAUGCGUAUGACGAAAUUUGGAGAGUGAGUCUCUCUGAUCAAGCCGCCGGCUAGAACUUGCGCCCAUAACAGGUUGAAUCCUGCAAAUGCUUUGCUUCUAGCCGAGUCGAAGCUUUCGGCAUCGAUAGAUAUACAGGGGUUGCUUUAACGUUUCUAUGCCCAACCAUCUUCAGUUCUAGUUAUUAGAAUAAUCUGCCCAACACCACGCCUAAAAACAUGGGUUCAGUGUAUCCAGAGCG
rnacentral:sRNA from 1 species